ACACGACUACAUUAGAUACCCGGUAGUCCUAGGCGUAAAUGAUGCGAGUUAAGUNUGGGGGCAUCUACGAGAUGGCCCUGUGCUGUAGGGUAGCCGUUAAACUCGCUGCCUGGGGAGUGCGGUCGCAAGGCUGAAACUUAAAGGAAUUGGCGGGGAGCACCACAAGAGGUGGAGGCUGCGGUUCAAUUGGACUCAACGCCGGAAAACUCAUCGGGAGCGACAGCAGUAUGAUUGCCAGGUUGAUGACCUUGCUUGACAAGCUG
rnacentral:rRNA from 1 species